GCUCUGGAGAUUUAAGUUCUCCCAGCUGAAGGGGUCUUCAGAUGACGGGAACACUCGAGCAAAGCUGCUAUUUCAGAACCCAGACACCAAGCAGAUCGAGAUGAAGGAGCUGGAGUUCCAGGACCUGCCUGCUGUGCUGCACUGUGUCCAUGCCUUCAUGGCCUCCAAAGUGGCCUCCCUGGACCCCGCGUUUCUGGACAGCCACAGCCUCACUGGAAGAUACUUGCA
rnacentral:lncRNA from 1 species